AUAUGUAAGGAGUUCUCAGCAGCUCGUUUUAUGAGCGUUAUGAAAGAUGCCAGAUGAUUAUCUGAGGCCUUCCCACCAAACCCACAGCUUCAGGGGGAUGCAUGGAGGCUGGCAAGACAGGGAAAUCCUGUGGCCAAAAGCUUUUGGAGAGAGAGCAGUUUCUCCUCCCACUUGCAGAGACCACACUUAAAUAUUUGUGGUAUCAUAAAUAUGCUCUCUAGUGUGUGCACUAACAGAUCUCUGGAACACAUCUGGGUUUGGUGGCUGUGGAACCUCGGGCUUGUGCAAGGCAAGGGUUAUACAAGUAAUGCCUCAUCAGAGGGAAGCAAGAGGUACUUGAAAGUGAGAGAUCGACCCAACGGUACAGAGCAACCCCCAGCUAAAGGAUUAUCGCAGCUGAUUCAGGGUAGAGGAAGGAAAGGUACAGCUCCCUGGGUUUUGGCAGUGGCCUCCAUUGUUGCCCCAAGAAGAGCUUUUCUGGAUGUCACAUUCCUACAGGAGAUUAAGAACAACCAGGCAGGAGAUGGAGUCAAGACCCUGCCUUCUCCUCAAGACUUCAAGGCUCACGUGAAGGCUCAUGGUCUUCAUUCUGCCUUCUGCAAAGACGCCAGCUUUGGGUCUGAGUUCAGCACGUGGACUUUUCCAAGGUCUGGAAAUAUGGGGAUCCUGUGUUUUGGCUGGCCCUCCCCCUAUUCAAUACCUACUGUCACUGCCUUUGGUAAACUGUGAUCAAUGCAUGUUUUAUAAACCCCAGGGAAUUGUGCAGCUUAUCCAGUACCUUUCACCAGAGACUCUCAAUGCACUUCACAAAUAAAUAGCCAAGUUUUACAAUAACUUCAUAUUCCAGGUUUUCUAGAUAGUUGCAAGCUGACAUCCAAGUGACUUUCCCGCAGUCACACAACAAAACUGCACUAACUUAUGAACAGAACUUAUAAGCCCCGAUUCCAGCUCUAGUUUUAUCUCUCAAACAAGAUUUGUUAUUUCUGUGCCUCUUUCUGGUAAUUCAUCCAAGGUUUCCAUCACCACUAGCCAGAGAUAAGCAUGAUCAUUUACACCGCUGCACUUUUUUUCCCUCAAAACUUCCCCCCUUUAACAUGAAUAAAUAAAAUUCAUAAACUUGAGCAAUCAGAAGAGAAGCUGUGCAAGGGCGACAAGGAGUGACAGGUUCGAACCCCAACUGCACCUACCAAAUCAGCGUUAGCUGCUCCUGAGCCAGCGCAUCGCCUUUGAGAGCUCCCUCAGAGGUCACCUGCAGGCGUUCACCUCCUUACUACAC